GACGAACGCUGGCGGCGUGCUUAACACAUGCAAGUCGAACGGAAAGGCCCUGCUUUUGUGGGGUGCUCGAGUGGCGAACGGGUGAGUAACACGUGAGUAACCUGCCCUUGACUUUGGGAUAACUUCAGGAAACUGGGGCUAAUACCGGAUAGGAGCUCCUGCGGCAUGGUGGGGGUUGGAAAGUUUCGGCGGUUGGGUAUGGACUCGCGGCUUAUCAGCUUGUUGGUGGGGUAGUGGCUUACCAAGGCUUUGACGGGUAGCCGGCCUGAGAGGGUGACCGGCCACAUUGGGACUGAGGUACGGCCCAGACUCCUACGGGAGGCAGCAGUGGGGAAUAUUGCACAAUGGGCGGAAGCCUGAUGCAGCAACGCCGCGUGCGGGAUGACGGCCUUCGGGUUGUAAACCGCUUUCGCCUGUGACGAAGCGUGAGUGACGGUAAUGGGUAAAGAAGCACCGGCUAACUACGUG
rnacentral:rRNA from 1 species